ACUGCCGCUCUAAGACAGGACCGACUGCCGCUGCAAGUAGGGCGCGAAUUAGGGUGCUACUUCCCCCUCCUCCUCUUCCCUUUCUCACUCUCUUCCCGCCCUAUUUCUCUCUCGCAUAUACUCUCUCACAUUUGAAAUCUCACCCAGGCGACACCCAACAAUGACGCUGGUAUUAGUUUGAUUCAGACUUCUAAGAGUGAAAGGUGUACAUAUAUUGCUAUGUGUGAGGGAGACAUUGGGAGUGUUAUAUCUAUGCUAGGACUGGGCAUAGUAUAUAUGAUUAUAGAUGCAGAGGAGAAAGGCCUCAUUACACCAAGGAAAGUGAGUUGAUUCCAUGUUAGGUAUCAAGUGGUGAAGCUAUUGAGACUGCAAAGCUUCUUGCUCUGAAGGAAUUGCUAGAAUAUUUCACUCUUCUUCAUGAUGGAUAUUAGAAAACCAGCUCUAAUCUUCUUCAUUCAUCUUUGCAGAAGUAAGGUGCCAAAAAGGAUGUGUUUCAGUUGUUUGCUGAUAAGGUGAAGGACCAUAAGGAUUUAGAAUCUAGAUGGGUUAUUUUACAGGAGACCCGGGUUCAAUAUUUCAGAGGAAAUCAUCCAGAGCUCAAGGAUUUUGUCUACUUACUACUAUGUACAUGAGAAGACAAGAAGAGAAAGAGAGUUUAAAGGCUGUAGUGUACUAUGCACAUGGACUUCAGAAUAAUUUUUCUUUUUUUUUCCUUUCUUGUAUGAUUAAAGUUCCAAUGGUUGUCAAGAAAGGAAACAAGUUGUUUUGUAUUGAAUUUUAA